GAUGAACGCUGGCGGCGUGCCUAAUACAUGCAAGUCGAGCGAACAGACGAGGAGCUUGCUCCUCUGACGUUAGCGGCGGACGGGUGAGUAACACGUGGAUAACCUACCUAUAAGACUGGGAUAACUUCGGGAAACCGGAGCUAAUACCGGAUAAUAUAUUGAACCGCAUGGUUCAAUAGUGAAAGACGGUUUUGCUGUCACUUAUAGAUGGAUCCGCGCCGCAUUAGCUAGUUGGUAGGGUAACGGCUUACCAAGGCUACGAUGCGUAGCCGACCUGAGAGGGUGAUCGGCCACACUGGAACUGAGACACGGUCCAGACUCCUACGGGAGGCAGCAGUAGGGAAUCUUCCGCAAUGGGCGAAAGCCUGACGGAGCAACGCCGCGUGAGUGAUGAAGGUCUUCGGAUCGUAAAACUCUGUUAUUAGGGAAGAACAAAUGUGUAAGUAACUAUGCACGUCUUGACGGUACCUAAUCAGAAAGCCACGGCUAACUACGUG
rnacentral:rRNA from 1 species